rnacentral:rRNA from 1 species
AUUGAACGCUUGCGGCAGGCCUAACACAUGCAAGUCGAACGAGUGGCGGACGGGUGAGUAAUGUCUGGGAAACUGCCCGAUGGAGGGGGCUAACUACUGGAAACGGUAGCUAAUACCGCAACCCAUCGGAUGUGCCCAGAUGGGAUUAGCUAGUAGGUGGGGUAACGGCUCACCUAGGCGACGAUCCCUAGCUGGUCUGAGAGGAUUACCAACCAGACUGGAACUGAGGCACGGUCCAGAAUCCUACGGGAGGCAGCAGUGGGGAAUAGUGCACAAUGGGCGCAGGCCUUGUACAGCCAUACCGCGUGUAUGAAGAAGGCCUUCAGGUUGUAAAGUACUUUCAGCGAGGAGGCGAUGCUCGCAGAAGAAGCACCGGCUAACGCCGUGCCAGCAGCCGCGGUAAUAC